rnacentral:rRNA from 1 species
AGAGUUUGAUCCUGGCUCAGGAUGAACGCCGGCGGNNNGCCUAAUACAUGCAAGUCGAACGCGUUGGCCCAAUUGAUUGACGGUGCCUGCACCUGAUUGAUUUUGNUUGCCAACGAGUGGCGGACGGGUGAGUAACACGUAGGUAACCUGCCCAGAAGCGGGGGACAACAUUUGGAAACAGAUGCUAAUACCGCAUAA